UAAUGAGCCACGUAAGAGAAUGAGUUG
rnacentral:piRNA from 1 species